AAGACUAUAGACCUGCGGAGUACCUGCGGAAGGAUCAUUAGUGAACGCCCUCACGGGCUUAUAACUAUUCCAAACCUCUGUGAACCGUGCCCUUCGGGGCUAUUUUACAAACAUGGUGUAAUGAACGUCAUAUAUCAUAACAAAGCAAAACUUUUAGCAACGGAUCUCU
rnacentral:misc_RNA from 1 species